rnacentral:rRNA from 1 species
GUGGGGAAUCUUAGACAAUGGGCGCAAGCCUGAUCUAGCCAUGCCGCGUGAGCGAUGAAGGCCUUAGGGUUGUAAAGCUCUUUCGCUGGGGAAGAUAAUGACUGUACCCAGUAAAGAAGCCCCGGCUAACUCCGUGCCAGCAGCCGCGGUAAUACGGAGGGGGCUAGCGUUAUUCGGAAUUACUGGGCGUAAAGCGCACGUAGGCGGACCAGAAAGUUGGGGGUGAAAUCCCGGGGCUCAACCUCGGAACUGCCUUCAAAACUCCUGGUCUUGAGUUCGAGAGAGGUGAGUGGAAUUCCGAGUGUAGAGGUGAAAUUCGUAGAUAUUCGGAGGAACACCAGUGGCGAAGGCGGCUCACUGGCUCGAUACUGACGCUGAGGUGCGAAAGCGUGGGGAGCAAACAGGAUUAGAAACCCGGGUAGUCC